GAUGAACGCUAGCUACAGGCUUAACACAUGCAAGUCGAGGGGCAGCAUGGUCUCAGCUUGCUAAGGCCGAUGGCGACCGGCGCACGGGUGAGUAACGCGUAUCCAACCUGCCUUACACUCUUGGACAGCCUUCUGAAAGGGAGAUUAAUACAAGAUGUUAUCAUGAGUAAGCAUUUUCGCAUGAUUAAAGGUUUACCGGUGUAAGAUGGGGAUGCGUUCCAUUAGAUAGUAGGCGGGUAACGGCCCACCUAGUCUUCGAUGGAUAGGGGUUCUGAGAGGAAGGUCCCCCACAUUGGAACUGAGACACGGUCCAAACUCCUACGGGAGGCAGCAGUGAGGAAUAUUGGGUCAAUGGGCGAGAGCCUGAACCAGCCAAGUAGCGUGAAGGAUGACUGCCUAUGGUUGUAAACUUCUUUAUAAAGGAAUAAAGUCGGGUAUGGAUACCCGUUUGCAUGUACUUAUGAAUAAGG
rnacentral:rRNA from 1 species